GCGCAGACGGUUCUCCGAGCUUUUGGUCCUACGUCAGUGAAGAUAUGGUCCUUUAGCCGUGGCAAUUUUGCCACCGGGGUGAGUAAAGAAAUGCUCUCACCUCCCUGACUUGGAAAGGUGAUCAUGUCCCAAUUAC
rnacentral:ncRNA from 1 species